rnacentral:rRNA from 1 species
AUUGAACGCUGGCGGCAUGCCUUACACAUGCAAGUCGAACGGUAACAGGUUAAGCUGACGAGUGGCGAACGGGUGAGUAAUGUAUCGGAACGUGCCCAGUCGGGGGGGAUAACUGCUCGAAAGAGCAGCUAAUACCGCAUACGACCUGAGGGUGAAAGCGGGGGAUCGCAAGACCUCGCGCGAUUGGAGCGGCCGGUAUCAGAUUAGGUAGUUGGUGAGGUAAAGGCUCACCAAACCGACGAUCUGUAGCUGGUCUGAGAGGACGACCAGCCACACUGGGACUGAGACACGGCCCAGACCCCUACGGGAGGCAGCAGUGGGGAAUUUUGGACAAUGGGCGCAAGCCUGAUCCAGCCAUGCCGCGUGCGGGAAGAAGGCCUUCGGGUUGUAAACCGCUUUUGUCAGGGAAGAAAAGGUUCUGGCUAAUACCCGGGACUCAUGACGGUACCUGAAGAAUAAGCACCGGCUAACUACGUGCCAGCCGCCGCGGUAAUAC